CAAUAGCGUAUAUUAAAGUUGUUGCAGUUAAAAAGCUCGUAGUUGGAUUUCUGGCCGAGUGUCCCUAGGCCAGCAUGACGUUUGGUCCUAGGCGCUCUGCCAUCCUUCUGUCAACCUUCGCCUUCUUCAUUGGGGGCGCUGGGGCUCAGAUAUUUUACCUUGAGAAAAUUAGAGUGUUUCAGGCAGGCUUUCGCCGGAAUACAUUAGCAUGGAAUAAUGGAAAAGGACUUCAACCUCUUCUGUUGGUCUGAGAGGCUGUAGUAAUGAUUAAUAGGGAUAGUUGGGGGUGCUAGUAUUGAGCGGCCAGAGGUGAAAUUCUUGGAUUCGCUCAAGACUAACUUAUGCGAAAGCAUUCACCAAGGAUGUCUUCUUUAAUCAAGAACGAAAGUUGGGGGAUCGAAGAUGAUUAGAUACCAU
rnacentral:rRNA from 1 species